UAUGGCUGUGUUUAUUGAAAUCAUACCUUAUCUUAGUAGAGACUUGGAUCGUUGAUAAAAUACAAUAAAUUAGAUGGAUUAUUCUUUUGUGAAAAACCACUCAACAUGUGAAGUAUUUAAAUCCCGAUUAAAUUUGUAUUUGAUGUCAAGCUAGUUUAAUACUCUCUCCGUCCCGCGAAAUGUGACCCACUUUCUUUUUUGGGUUGUCCCACAAAACUUGACAUGUUUCUAAAAAUAGCAAAAAAUUUACCCUUUAUUCACCUUUUCACUUUUUCACCUACCGCAUUUAACACACAAAAUACCAAUUUCUUGAUUCCCGUGCCGAAAAGAAAUGGGUCACACUUCAUGGGACGAAGUAUUUAUUGAAUGAAUUAUAUUGAAGAUACAAGUAAGCGAACGUGUUGAGAUGUUAAGCUAGUCUGUUCUUGACACAAAUGAGGUGCCAAAGAAAUUGAUGGAGAUGCACUACAAUCGAAGAGACAGAAACACCAACAGUACAAGGAGAUGAUGCAAGCUCUAAUAGGGGCAGAGCCGAAGCACAAUAACAAAUUCGAACACAGUUUCAUACUCAGCUACGAGCACAACAUGAGCCUCUCGACCGAGUUCUAUCGAAGCUAGCGCUACCCCACCACCAUCUUCCUCUUGAUUGUCGUUGUCUUUGGAUGUUGAAUGUAUUAGUAGCAGUUGGUUAACUAUUUUGAACAUGAUUUAUUGUUUGAUUUCUGAUGAAUAUUAUUGUGAUGUUGGAUGUCGAACAUGAUCCGUUGUUGAAUUUUUAAUGAAUAUUAUUGCGAUGUUGGAUUU